UCUCCACCCAUAUAUGGAUCUCAACAACCAGGCAUACCUACGGGUCAUGGAACCUGCUCGUCGUUGAAUAUGCCUGGUGCUCUCCUGCCUCCUUCGUGCACGACUGCCCGUGAAUUUCCUCGUCCAUCGGCCGAUGCGUUAUCCAGCCCUGUUCGGUAGAUGCAUUUCUGGGCAUCAGUACCUGUACUUCCUUCCGUUAAUUGAUCUAGGACUCUUGUUGCCCCGGUAAUGGCGACACUUUGGGCAGUACCAAGGUUCUCCCCCGCCAGCCACGACAGCUGCAGCAGCCACUGCUCCUCCUCCAAACGGUACGGCCAUGGCCUGCAAAGACAAAGCAAUAUCAGACCGUUGCAUCCAUGAGCAUGUUUUUGCAAAAGGAAAUUGCUAAUUGAA